rnacentral:rRNA from 1 species
GCGUGCGCAGGCGGUUAUGUAAGACAGAUGUGAAAUACCCCGGGCCGUCAACCUGGGAACUGCAUUUGUGACUGCAUGGCUAGAGUACGGUAGAGGGGGAUGGAAUUCCGCGUGUAGCAGUGAAAUGCGUAGAUAUGCGGAGGAACACCGAUGGCGAAGGCAAUCCCCUGGACCUGUACUGACGCUCAUGCACGAAAGCGUGGGGAGCAAACAGGAUUAGAUACCCUAGU